rfam:Gossypium raimondii Chr13_contig_146, whole genome shotgun sequence.
GACCCAUGGUGAGGGCACCUUCUCAAUAAAUCCUUAUACCUCUCUCAUGCAUCAUAUAGAAUCUUUAAGUCAAUCUACACGAAAGAAGAGAUAUCAUUCCUCAACUU